rnacentral:rRNA from 1 species
CCUACGGGAGGCUGCAGUGGGGGAUAUUGCACAAUGGGGGGAACCCUGAUGCAGCGACGCCGCGUGGGUGAAGGAGUGCUUCGGCAUGUAAAGCCCUAUCGGCAGGGAAGAAGCAAGACGGUACCUGACUAAGAAGCCCCGGCUAAAUACGUGCCACCAGCCUCGGUAAUACGUAGGGGGCGAGCGUUAUCCGGUUUCACUGGGUGUAAAGGGAGGGUAGGCGGCCCUGCAAGCCAGGGGUGAAAGCCCGGGGCCCAACCCCGGGACUGCCCUGGGAACUGUGCGGCGAGAGUGCGGGAGGGGCAGGCGGAAUGCCGGGUGUAGCGGUGAAAUGCGUAGAUAUCAGGAGGAACACCGGCGGCGAAGGCGGCCUGCUGGACCGCAACUGACGUUGAGGCUCGAAAGCGUGGGGAGCGAACAGGAUUAGAUACCCUGGUAGUC